rnacentral:misc_RNA from 1 species
CCUUUCAUCAUCACUCGACUCGUAAUCCAUGGCAGCACUGCUAUUGCUCUUCUUGCCUCUACCGCUAGCUGACACAGAUGUGGCCUUUACAGACGAAGAGUUAUAGUCAUCAUAAUAUCCAUUAGCUGUGGAUGAAGAUUUGUGAUGACCAGAAGAUGCAGAGGAACCACCAGCUACGGCCACAGGAGCUUCCCCUGAGGAAGAGAGCUUGCGCUUGUUUUUGGCGAGCUCUUCUUCCGGAAAGCUAAUGCGACAGAAAACGCUUGCUUUCUGUUUGCGGUCUGCUAUUGCGGAUGAAGCUGGUUUAGCAGUCGUUUCAGAUGAAGCUUUUGCAGGGAGUUCAGAACGUUGGUGGUGGUGGUGGUGGCUAUGCUGAUGAUCGCGUUCACCUCUGUCUCGUUCUCGGUCAUGAUCGUAGUCGUGGUAAUCGUGAUCGCGAUCUCUAUCACGUUCGCUUCUCUCGUGGUCGGAUUUUCUUUUGGAAGGGCGCGGAGGCAGUGGUGGUGGAGGUUCAAGAUCGCGGGCUGAGCGUUCAGGCGAGGACCUCUCAGGUAGACGGCGGUGGUGUGUAUGAGGAUCACCGCUUGAUGACUGCGGAAUAGACUUCUGCGCAAACGAACAUUUAAAAAGGAAAGCUGUUAGAAUUAGAACGGCCACAUUCAAGAUACAGCAUAAUAUAGCCCAUUACUUUUACUGUUAUAAGGCCCAAUCAUAAGCCCAUCACUUAGCCCAGGCUCCAUUUUUUUCUCCACCUACCGUCAACUGGAAAUAUAGCAGUCUGUAAUUACCUACUUCAGUCUUAAUGAUUACGGCUCUUCACUAUAAUCAUUUUUCACCUUUGUUGUUCUUAUUUCCAAAAUACUUGAAUUUACUUCACAAUAAGAACAGUUUCACACGCAAUUUUCUUUCGUUAGGCCGUUUGGCUCACCUUUUUAUUUUUAUUUACAAAAUUUUAAAUAAAAAAUCACACCAUUUUAAAACCAUAUCGCAAAUCUUUCCCUUAGGAAAACCAUGAAUCGAGUAAAAUUUAACACUCUGGAAAUCAGUAACCGCGCAUUCAAAUUAUUUACAAUUAUUUGCUUCAAAAUCUUUACAA